CGACGUGGAAGAGCUGCAAGCGUCGCUCAACCCGGGGUGGGAGAUCUCGGAUCCCCAACGGCGGCGAACGACGCCCGAUCCCUACCACGCUGGUGAGAACCUGGUCGA
rnacentral:misc_RNA from 1 species